rnacentral:misc_RNA from 1 species
GGGGGGGCAGACGCCGCCUCUUCUAUUUCGCUUUCCGCCGUCGUGUUCCUCCGGUGUUAGCCAACGGCUUGUAUUCUCAAUAUCCUCUUAACGCCCUCCAUCUUUUGAUUUCCGAUUAUAUUAACUCAAUUUGAUCUCUACGACUGCUGAAUUUCUUCAUUUGCAUUUUGCUUGAUUCAUCUUCUUUUUUCGUUUCUGAAUUGGUGUUUGGUUUUGUU